rnacentral:lncRNA from 1 species
UUUCCCAGAAUUGCUUUGAAUUUUGAUCCAACCUUCUGCUCCUCAUCCAUUGCCCAUUGACUCUGAAAGCAUCAAGAAUGUUAUUGAUGAAAAGGACCUGGACUCCAUGUGUGGAAAAGUGAUCAGCCAUUUCCUCUCCUAGACUGAUGAAGAUCACAAGACUUCUAUGCUUUAGUUGGUGGUCUUUGCAGAAUCACAGCAAGACAGCACCCAAGUGGAUCUUUUAUGGAGGUCAUGAAAAUUUAGUGGCAAGACAAACAUCAGGAUCCAUGGCAAUGGAUAUAGUGGAUAACCUUGUUCAAUGUCUGAUUAAGCUCCAAGUAUUCCAUAGUAGAGUGCCUGCCUUUGGAACAAUUUCUUCAUCUCCACCCAUUCCACUGGGGGAAGUCCUCACAUGUUUGUAAUAGACAUUUCAAUAAUUCACUGACCAAUGCAUUUGAGGAAGACUGUAAGGCGAGUUUCAUCAGUGAUUUUUCUUGGAGCACAUGAUGAACCUAAAGAUCAUAGAUAUAGAUCUGCAAGUAACCCUGGUGGCCUUCUUCUCCAACUGCUCCAUUUUGUAAUUGAGUAAAAUAAAGUCUGGGGAAAUUAAGAGAUAAAAUCA